UCGGGAAUUUUGGGCAAUGGGCGAAAGCCUGACCCAGCAACGCCGCGUGAAGGAUGAAAUCCCUCGGGAUGUAAACUUCGCAAGAACAGGAAGAAUAAGUAAGAGUUAAUAUCUCUUACGAUGACGGUACUGUUUGUAAGCUCCGGCUAACUCCGUGCCAGCAGCCGCGGUAAUACGGGGGGAGCAAGCGUUGUUCGGAUUUACUGGGCGUAAAGGGCGCGUAGGCGGCCACCGCAAGUCGACUGUGAAAUCUCCGGGCUUAACCCGGAAAGGUCAGCCGAUACUGCGGGGCUAGAGUGCAGAAGGGGCAACUGGAAUUCUCGGUGUAGCGGUGAAAUGCGUAGAUAUUCGCAAGAACACCAGUGGCGAAGGCGGCUCACUGGCCCGAUACUGACGCUGAGGUGCGAAAGCGUGGGGAGCAAA
rnacentral:rRNA from 1 species